rnacentral:rRNA from 1 species
AGUAAUGUAUGGGGAUCUGCCCGAUAGAGGGGGAUAACUACUGGAAACGGUGGCUAAUACCGCAUAAUGUCUACGGACCAAAGCAGGGGCUUUUCGGACCUUGCACUAUCGGAUGAACCCAUAUGGGAUUAGCUAGUAGGUGGGGUAAAGGCUCACCUAGGCGACGAUCUCUAGCUGGUCUGAGAGGAUGAUCAGCCACACUGGGACUGAGACACGGCCCAG